GGCUGGAGAGAUAGCUCAGAGGUUAAGAGCACUGACUGUUCUUCCAGAGGUCCUGAGUUCAAUUCCCAGCAACCA
rnacentral:tRNA from 1 species